UCUCCGUAGGUGAACCAGCGGAGGGAUCAUUACCGAGUUUACAACUCUCAAACCCAAUGCUAACCAUACCAAAUUGUUUCCUUGGCGGGCUCACGCCCCUGGCGCGUUGCAGCUCCGGUCCAGGCGCGCCUCCGACGGCGCAACCCAACUCUUUCAGUAGAUCCCUGGCGGACGCUAAUUCUUCUGCUCUCAGCAAAAAUCUAAAAACAAUCAAAAUCUUCAACAACGGAUCUCUUGAUUCUGGCACCGAUGAGAAACGCAGCCGACUGGAAUACCAUA
rnacentral:misc_RNA from 1 species